AGGAAUCCAAAUCUCCGUGCCUCCCGCGGAUCAGCGCUCUCUUUGGAACGUGUCGUGGGCCGGGCUUCUUGAAGUCUUCGUAGGCGCCUAGCCAGGUGCAGAACCUCGCGUAGGAUGCGGGUGCCGCCCCGUGCGGGGAACCGCGAGGAAUUUCCAAAAGGAAAUCGAACACAGCAAAGGAAUAGAUGCGAAUGCAGAACUUUGGGACGGGCGCUGGGAGGGGCCCGUGGACAGCCAAGAAUGGUAACGACGCCACGGGAUCAGAGACCUUCAGACUCUGAAAUCAGGGCGUCACAAAAUCCGGAGAGCAAGGGCUGAAGGAAGACCAGUUUCCAUACAAAGGCCAAACAAAUAAACAAGCCUUUAAGUCUCGACCAGCGGGCUCCAGUGCGCUCUACCAAUGGGUUGGUGACCGCGUUCUUGUGCCUCUGUUUCACCCGGGCCCGCGCCUGUCCUUCGGGAUCGCCGGUGUAGGGGUUGCUGGGCUGGGGACUGGGGUCGGAGGCUGCGAAGAGGUCACGUUUGGGUCGCUGUCGUCCCAGUUGUGCGGGGACCAGCCCGUGGCCCCGGGAGGUCUCGAGUUCUCUUCUGCACCGGGGGCUGCGCGGGUGCCGGCACGGGCCGGCCCCAGUUGGCAGAUGCCAUCACCGGCCCAGGAGCCUCCCCGGGAACUUGUCGCGGUGGCUGCCCCGGCCCCGGGUUCCCGCGGAGGGCUGAGCCUUCGCUUUUCGUCGGAGAGUCCUUGCGCUCAGCCACGAACCAUCUCCGCCGUCCGCGUUCAAACGCGGAGAAAUCAAGAUGAGGAGCCUGAGACUCAAAGAUGUUAAAUGACUUGCCAAGGUCCUUCCAAGAAGAGAGAAAACCAGUUUUCAGACUCAUAACAGCUGAUGAUGUUACUGAUUUUUAGAAUCCAAACCGAUGUACUUUAUGAAUGUGGACCCUGUUCACCAAGUCACAUUACAUUCAGAGGCCAAGUAUUUAAUCUAUCACUCCAAGAUGAGUUUCUUUCACUUGAAAUUUAGAUGCUAUUGAAGCCUCAUGAUAAUUCUGCCUAAGUAUCAUAAUUCUACCUAACAGUCUCAGAACAUAAGCAGAACCUGGACCAUGGAAACCACAAGUUCUUGAGCAUGUGGGCAGCCCAGACCAAGUCUGGCAUUUUGCAGUGACUUUACUAGCGGUUCAUACUCAAGAGCUAGAGAUGUGCUCAGGACUGAGUUACUGCAUUUCCACAAGAAAGGAGUCUUCCACCAUUACAAGAUUCCUCCAGACGUCUCCUUGGUCACUUCAACAAUUACUGCUAAAUUCAUGCUCUAAGGUGAUGGUAUUCCAGGACUUUCCACAGGAGUUGGAAAUGAUGAAGUUAUAUCUGCAAAAUGGGGGACACCUGAAUGCCAGAAAACCACUCAAAGUUGGAAAAAUGUUUUCCAUCACCUCAUCCUGCCACUCAAUUCCUGAUAAAGAACUCAGAAAUUAGCACUAAAACAAAGCAAAAAAGU